ACUGCAUGGAGAUAAACUGACAUCCAGAAACUUGGUCCCAUGAUUAUAUUUGGGUUUUCCACAGGCAAUGUGCAUUCGUGUGGAAGAUGAGGGGGUCAUUUUGUUUUACAAGAACUCGUCCAGGAGAAACAUCAUCAUUAAAGAUGGUACAUACGAUUGGGUGUUCUUUGCAAUUUGAUUUGCUAGGCCUUGGAACUAAAAGUCGUUUCCCCUCGUGUGGAACUUGUACCUGAUUUGGGAUUUGGCUAAUGGAUGAAGAGCCAAAAUUUUUCAAGCUUGUGUCAAUUUUGUAGUUUUAUUAAGUAUAUUUCUUUAGAUCAUACACAACAACAGCGUAAUAACUUUUAUGUGUGUGGAAAGAUGAUUUCAUAGAGAUUUUUUUGUCCUUGGGGCUUCCUGAGUUGUAUAUUACAAUUUAUAAGUUAUUCAAUUACCCAAAUUCCUUUUUACCAUUGA